AAUAAACAACAGACAACAGUUGGGUAAGCAAAAAAGAUUUGUAUUCUAUCCAUUGUUGUAGAAUAUUCAUAAAGUGUGGGAAGAUUUAGUUAUUAUUACUUGAAGCAACUCCCAGGCAUAUGAAGAAAUUAACAUUAGCUUUCCAUCAACUCCAGUGGAUGGCACAUGUAUAUUGGCAAGGAUUUUAUCAAUAUUAUUUGUAACUGAUUGCAUUGAGUGUUGUUUAAGCACAAUUUAUGUGCAUUAAAAUGUAAAAAUAUACCUCCUUAAAAUAAAAUUUGCUUCUCGAAAUAUUUUAAUGUGUGAUCUCCCAAUGUUAUUUUUCAGUAGCAUGAAUGUCAAAAUAACUCUGAUGCUCUCAGUGAAAGAACCUUGUUAAAUAUACGUAGGAUUAAGUUACAGAAUUGUUUAAGGUGACUGAUGCUAUAAAGCAGAUGAAGAAAUGUGACAGUGAAUAAAUUUCUCUUAUGCAGAAUCAUUUAAUUUUCAUUUCAUUGUGAUAAUUAUCUUCUGAACACAUUUGCAAUUUAGUUUACAUAGAAACUAAACUGACCUUUGUAGAAAUUGUUUUGCAGAAAUUACUUCAUAUAUUGAGAUAAUUUCUUCCAGAGAGGAAUACACAAUUAUUACCAUUCAAGCAGUUUAUUCCCUUGUAUGUAAUACAUAUCACACUAUAUUAUUCCACAACUACUGUCUAUCAGGGGAUGUAUGUAUAACUUCUCAGGGAAAUGCAUAGAGGUAUUGUAAAAAUUAGUGACAAAAUAUUUUUUUUUUUUUUUUCUGUAUUGAUCAUUACUUAAUUGAUUGAAUGUAUCUCAUUAUGGUG